rnacentral:rRNA from 1 species
UACGGAGGAUGCAAGCGUUAUCCGGAAUGAUUGGGCGUAAAGCGUCCCCAGGUGGUUGUGUGUGUCUAUUGUCAAAGCAUCAUGCUUAACAUGAUAAAGGCAGUAGAAACUACACGACUAGAGUGCGUUCGGGGCAGAGGGAAUUCCUGGUGUAGCGGUGAAAUGCGUAGAGAUCAGGAAGAACACCGGUGGCGAAAGCGCGCUGCGAGGCCGCAACUGACCCUGAGGGACGAAAGCUAGGGGAGCGAAUGGG